UCCCUUGUGGUCCAGUGGCUAAGACUCCGCGCUCCCAAUGUGGGGGGCCCAGGUUCAAUCCCUGGUCAGGGGA
rfam:Ovis aries breed Texel chromosome 13, whole genome shotgun sequence.